AAGUCGUAACAAGGUUUCCGUAGGUGAACCUGCGGAAGGAUCAUUAUCACAAAUGAUUUUUAACUCUCUUAAUCCAGAGUUAAACCUCUUCUUAAACCAAUCUAAUAAAAUGUGGAAUUGUUUUAAUUUGUCUUUUACUGGACAAAUUUCUUUUAACCAAUUGAACCCUUUUCUAAUAUAUUGUUAUUUUAUUUAAUUUAGUUCUGAAAUCUAUUAUAUCUUCAAUAGCAAUAUUGAUCAUAUGAUAAUUACAUUACGAAACAAUUUAUAAUAAAACAACUCUUAGCAACGGAUAUCCUGGUUCUC
rnacentral:misc_RNA from 1 species